rnacentral:rRNA from 1 species
AAACCAACAGGGAUUGCCUCAGUAGCGGCGAGUGAAGCGGCAAAAGCUCCAUUUUGAAAGCUCUUCGGAGCGUUGUAGAUUGGUGGGAAGCUAACGGCUGGUGGGAGACCAAGUCCUCUGGAACGAGGCGCCAUAGAGGGUGAGAGCCCCGUGUGUCUCCUUUACCGACCUUUCAGCCCCCUCCGCGGAGUCGAGUUGUUUGGGAAUGCAGCUCUAAGUGGGUGGUAAAUUCCAUCUAAGGCUAAAUAUUGGCGAGAGACCGAUAGCGAACAAGUACAGUGAUGGAAAGAUGAAAAGCACUUUGAAAAGAGAGUGAAACAGUACGUGAAAUUGUUGAAAGGGAAGGGUAUUUGGCCCGACAUGGGUCCUAUGCACCGUUGCCUCUCGUGGGCGGCGCUCUGCUUGGGCCUGGGCCAGCGUCAGUUUGGAGGGGGCGAGAAGGGUUUUGGGGAGUUGCCUAGCAAUUCCCCUUUGCUAGAUUGCCCCACACCGGACUGAGGACCGCCAUCUGUAGGAUGCUGGCACAACGGCCAAAUACCGCGGCG